UCCAGGGGCGGGAAUCGAACCCACGACCUUCCGCUUACCGGGCAGAUGCCAUGUCCACUAGGCUAUG